AGUGCUGUGAUAAGCUGACAAACAUUUAUAGGCAAAAAUCAGUUUCAAUAUUUCUCUUUAAUUAAUAUUGCACUUUUUCUUGCCUCUAAAUUUGAUUGCCUCGUCUAAAAAUAGCAC
rnacentral:pre_miRNA from 2 species